UACAGAGAAAUGUAUACAGGGAGAAUGCUCUGUGAAGACAGGAGGUUCGCAGCCACAGUCCAGGGACGUACCAGCAGCUUAAAAAGAGACCAAUGGCAUUUUAAGUGAGACGUGAAGUAUGGGCUCUGCUACCGUGGCCCUUUGUCUGUCUGGUCAAAGAAGGAACAUAAACCCAUCUAACUGAUCAAGUAGAAGGGAAAAGGAAGAGGGAAGAAAAAAAUGAGAGAAAAAGAGAAGAAAAAAACCCCCCAGGCUUUCAAGACUGUGAACUCCUUGGAACAAAGACACAAUCUCUAUUAUAGUUGAUAAAAAUCACCAGGAAACAAAUGUUCCAGGAGGUUGUAUCUUAGCAUAUAACACAGAGAGAGCUAAGAGCAAUUUCCAUAUCAAUCUGCCCAAAUGGAAAAACUGGUGUCACCUACAAGCCUAGAAAGAAACAAAUAUGUCCCCUGAACCUAACUGUGAGAGCCAGAAGCAAGAAAUACAGAAGCAGCUUCCUCA